AUUGAACGCUGGCGGCAGGCUUAACACAUGCAAGUCGAGCGGGGUGAUGGUGCUUGCACUAUCACCUAGCGGCGGACGGGUGAGUAAUGCUUAGGAAUCUGCCUAUUAGUGGGGGACAACAUUUCGAAAGGAAUGCUAAUACCGCAUACGUCCUACGGGAGAAAGCAGGGGAUCUUCGGACCUGUCGCUAAUAGAUGAGCCUAAGUCGGAUUAGCUAGUUGGUGGGGUAAAGGCCUACCAAGGCGACGAUCUGUAGCGGGUCUGAGAGGAUGAUCCGCCACACUGGGACUGAGACACGGCCCAGACUCCUACGGGAGGCAGCAGUGGGGAAUAUUGGACAAUGGGCGCAAGCCUGAUCCAGCCAUGCCGCGUGUGUGAAGAAGGCCUUAUGGUUGUAAAGCACUUUAAGCGAGGAGGAGGCUACUUUAGAUAAUACCUAGAGAUAGUGGACGUUACUCGCAGAAUAAGCACCGGCUAACUCUGUGCCAGCCGCCGCAGUAAUAC
rnacentral:rRNA from 1 species